AUCAUAAAAAUAUAAAUUUAGCACUUGUUAAAUACAUAUUCCUCUGUGGUGUUUUGGUCAUGUUAUGUUCAUGAUAUAACCAAACUUCAGUUUUAAAGAAAUAUCAUUUUAGCCAAAAUCUAGACUGGCCAGUGCCUGUUGGAAAUACAAAUGGAAGUUCAAGUUCUCAUCUUCUUAUGGGAAAUUUUGACAGUAUCUGAUUUUAGGCCCAACUUCAACUAAAUAUGAUACCAGACCCUUUUCCUGGUAACCAUUUCCACUUUCCACCCCCAAGUAAAGUUGUUUUUACCAACACUAUAUCUCCUUCAACAAAAUGUCUCAUGAUACUAUGAUUUCUAUCAUGACUUGAUGCCAUUUUUCAUGGUUUCGCUCCAUGCCCAGCUCAUUGUUUUAACACUGCAAGAGAUUCCUUAGUAAUUAAGUGUGGUGUAUUUCUGUACUGUAACAGAAUGCUUGAUAACCUGUAGUGUAAAGUAUUUUUCUUUCUACCGUUUCUUGCCUCAAAUAAUUGUUUCUUAAGGCAUUUUGAAGACUUAAACUGUUGUUUCCAUUGCUCCACUCAAACUUAGAUGAAGUGCUGGAACUAAAGUAUCCUUUAUUCCAUUAUUGUUCAUGAAUAUCUCCAAUGCUGCAGAUGUAAACCUAGGAUCGUUAUCACUCACAAGUUCUUCCGGGAGGGGAGACCCGAUGUACAAAACAAUCCGUGUAAUAUUUCAGAGGUUUUCUCAUUAGUCGUUGACUUCAUCAAAAUUAUUUCUAGCCUAUGAGAUUAACUGUCCAUCACAACUAGAAAUACCUGUUUAUUUGAAUUCGGCAUAGUCAAAGUGAAUACAUUGCCAUGGCGUUGUUGCCCAUUUCCAUGGAUGCAAUGGUGCUGUUGCUGGUGAAUUUUUAACUGACAUGCAUGUUGCACAUACUUUAACUGUUCUUUCAAUAUCUGAGUCAAUGUUGUUCCACUAUAAAUAACUGCACUAAAACUCAUUUUACACAUUCCCAUGUGUUUCUCAAGUAGUUCAGUAAGCAGCCGCAUGGGUUAAGAAAUAAGACUGCCUGGUUACGUUUAUAAAUCAUAUUUGGUGCAUUUUCCGUUUUGAUUGUGGAUGGAAGUCCGUGUGUGGCAAAUAUUUUCAUAAGCCUUUGAAUGAUAGCCCUGGAGGUAAUUGAUUUCAUGAUUUCAAUUUCUGGGAAGCGAGAGUAGUAGUCUAUCACAACAAGAAUAUACUCUCCGCCAGGCAAUGGUCCUGUGAGAUCCAUUCCUACAUUUUGCCAGGGUGCGUCCGAUAAGUCAGUUGGCGUUAUAGCAGGUUGCUGAGGCAGGUUUGAAACUAACUGGCACUGGUAACAAGUUCUAAUUAAAGUUUCAAUUUCAUUUUCAAUUCCAGGCAAAUAAACCUUUUCUCUUAGCA